AUUGAACGCUGGCGGCAGGCCUAACACAUGCAAGUCGAGCGAGCGGCGGACGGGUGAGUAAUGUAUGGGAACCUGCUCGAUAGAGGGGGAUAACUACUGGAAACGGUGGCUAAUACCGCAUACUAUCGGAUGAACCCAGAUGGGAUUAGCUAGUUGUUGGGGUAAAGGCUCACCUAGGCGACGAUCCCUAGCUGUUCUGAGAGGAUGAUCAGCCAAACUGGAACGGGGACACGGCCAAGACUCCUACGGGAGGCAGCAGUGGGGAAGAUUGCACAAUGGGCGCAAGCUGGAUGAAGCCAUGCCGCGGGUGUGAAGAAGGCCUUCGGGUUGUAAAGUACUUUCAGCGGGGAGGCGUUACCCGCAGAAGAAGCACCGGCUAACUCCGUGCCAGCAGCCGCGGUAAUUC
rnacentral:rRNA from 1 species